rnacentral:rRNA from 1 species
GACGAACGCUGGCGGCGUGCCUAAUACAUGCAAGUAGAACGCUGAAGAGAGGAGCUUGCUCUUCUUGGAUGAGUUGCGAACGGGUGAGUAACGCGUAGGUAACCUGCCUUGUAGCGGGGGAUAACUAUUGGAAACGAUAGCUAAUACCGCAUAACAAUGGAUGACACAUGUCAUUUAUUUGAAAGGGGCAAUUGCUCCACUACAAGAUGGACCUUCGUUGUAUUAGCUAGUAGGUGAGGUAAUGGCUCACCUAGGCGACGAUACAUAGCCGACCUGAGAGGGUGAUCGGCCACACUGGGACUGAGACACGGCCCAGACUCCUACGGGAGGCAGCAGUAGGGAAUCUUCGGCAAUGGGGGCAACCCUGACCGAGCAACGCCGCGUGAGUGAAGAAGGUUUUCGGAUCGUAAAGCUCGGUUGUAAGUCAAGAACGGGUGUGAGAGUGGAAAGUUCACACUGUGACGGUAGCUUACCAGAAAGGGACGGCUAACUACGUG